rnacentral:rRNA from 1 species
UACGUAGGGUGCGAGCGUUGUCCGGAAUUACUGGGCGUAAAGAGCUCGUAGGUGGUUUGUCGCGUUGUUCGUGAAAUCUCACGGCUUAACUGUGAGCGUGCGGGCGAUACGGGCAGACUAGAGUACUGCAGGGGAGACUGGAAUUCCUGGUGUAGCGGUGGAAUGCGCAGAUAUCAGGAGGAACACCGGUGGCGAAGGCGGGUCUCUGGGCAGUAACUGACGCUGAGGAGCGAAAGCGUGGGGAGCGAACAGGAUUAGAUACCCUGGUAGUCCACGCCGUAAACGGUGGGUACUAGGUGUGGGUUUCCUUCCCUUGGGAUCCGUGCCGUAGCUGACGCAUUAAGUACCCCGCCUGGGGAGUACGGCCGCAAGGCUAAAACUU